rnacentral:rRNA from 1 species
AUUGAACGCUGGCGGCAUGCCUUACACAUGCAAGUCGAACGGCAGCACGGGAGCAAUCCUGGUGGCGAGUGGCGAACGGGUGAGUAAUGUAUCGGAACGUGCCCAGUCGUGGGGGAUAACGUAGCGAAAGCUACGCUAAUACCGCAUACGAUCUAUGGAUGAAAGCGGGGGAUCGCAAGACCUCGCGCGAUUGGAGCGGCCGAUAUCAGAUUAGGUAGUUGGUGGGGUAAAGGCCCACCAAGCCUGCGAUCUGUAGCUGGUCUGAGAGGACGACCAGCCACACUGAAACUGAGACACGGUCCAGACUCCUACGGGAGGCAGCAGUGGGGAAUUUUGGACAAUGGGCGCAAGCCUGAUCCAGCAAUGCCGCGUGCAGGAUGAAGGCCUUCGGGUUGUAAACUGCUUUUGUACGGAACGAAACGGCUUUUUCUAAUACAGAGAGCUAAUGACGGUACCGUAAGAAUAAGCACCGGCUAACUACGUGCCAGCAGCCGCGGUAACAC